GAGUCUGGUUACUGUAGAAAUCACAUCAUCGGAGAAGUUCGGAUAUUGAUGAAGUUCGGAAGAAGUUCAAAAUAGGGUCGUCCGCGGUCGGAAGGAGUCUGGGAGGGAUUCAGAGAAUAGUUGAUCACUGUAGAAGGUCGGCUGAUAGUGAAGCCCAGAGAGCCUUUGGAGUGGCCCGGUAGAUGAAUGGGAAAGCUCAUUGUCAGAGAAGUUUGGAUGGUCGAGGG
rnacentral:lncRNA from 1 species